rnacentral:rRNA from 1 species
CCCUUAGAUGUUCUGGGCUGCACGCGUGUUACAAUCGGGAGUACAACAAGAUUGCAAAUCCUAGUGGAUGAGUGGUUCUUCGAAAUUUUCUGAAGACUGGGAUAGUUGAUUGAAAUUAUUCAACUCAAACGAGGAACUCCUUGUAAUUGUAAUUCAUUAUAUUGUAAUGAAUACGUCCCUGCCCUUUGUACACACCGCCCGUCGCUCCUACCGAUUGAACGAUCCGGUGAAUUAUUUGGAGUAGCUCUGGAAGUUGCAGAACUUCCUAUGUCACGAAAUUUUGUAAACCUUAUCGUUUAGAGGAAGGAAAAGUCGUAACA